GAUGCACGCUGGCGGCGUGCCUAAUACAUGCAAGUCGAGCGAACGGACGAGAAGCUUGCUUCUCUGAUGUUAGAGGCGGACGGGUGAGUAACACGUGGAUAACCUACCUAUAAGACUGGGAUAACUUCGGGAAACCGGAGCUAAUACCGGAUAAUAUUUUGAACCGCAUGGUUCAAAAGUGAAAGACGGUCUUGCUGUCACUUAUAGAUGGAUCCGCGCUGCAUUAGCUAGUUGGUAAGGUAACGGCUUACCAAGGCAACGAUGCAUAGCCGACCUGAGAGGGUGAUCGGCCACACUGGAACUGAGCCACGUUCCAGACUCCUACGGGAGGCAGCAGUAGGGAAUUUUCCGCAAUGGGCGAAAGCCUGACGGAGCAACGCCGCGUGAGUGAUGAAGGUCUUCGGAUCGUAAACCUCUUUUAUUAGGGAAGAACAUAUGUGUAAGUACCUGUGCACAUCUUGACGGUACCUAAUCAGAAAGCCACGGCUAACUACGUG
rnacentral:rRNA from 1 species